UUAGGGUUUUAAUUAAAAAAUUAAGAUUUCAAAAAUAUAAUUAGGGUUUUCUAAUCAUAUUAAAGUUUAAUAAUCACAUUAGGGCUUGCUAAUUAGGGUUUAGGAUUCUCGAAUAUGAAAUUAGGGUUUCACGGCUUUCGUUUAGUGUUCCUAACUGUACGUUAGGGUUUUUAAACCUGAGAUUAGGGUUUCUAAUCUCUCAUUAGGGUUUACUAAUAUUAUACCCU
rnacentral:lncRNA from 1 species